AGACCGAUAGCGAACAAGUAGAGUGAUCGAAAGAUGAAAAGAACUUUGAAAAGAGAGUUAAAAAGUACGUGAAAUUGUUGAAAGGGAAGCGCUUGUGACCAGACUUGGGCUUGGUUGAUCAUCCGGGGUUCUCCCCGGUGCACUCUUCCGGCUCAGGCCAGCAUCAGUUCGCCCCUGGGGGAUAAAGGCUUCGGGAAUGUGGCUCUCUCCGGGGAGUGUUAUAGCCCGCUGCGUAAUACCCUGUGGCGGACUGAGGUUCGCGCAUUCGCAAGGAUGCUGGCGUAAUGGUCAUCAGUGACCCGUCUUGAAACACGGACCAAG
rnacentral:rRNA from 1 species